rnacentral:lncRNA from 1 species
CCAUCUACUAUCCUAUUAAUAGGAUCAAGGAUAUUGUUCUAUCAAGUCGAUUUGAAUGAUCGGAACUUCAAAUUGAUAAUCAUAAUCGGCACCGUUGAAAUGUUUAGAAACCAAAUUUUAUAAUAUGAAUUAAAAAUCAUUAUUAAGUUCAUCUUAAAGUUGAAAAAUGUACGGUCAUAAAUCAAUAACCUUCUUAAAAUAGAGGUUAGACUUUCUCAGUUUAUAAUCAUAAUUAUCAAACAUUAUCUAAAUAGUAUAAAAAUUUUUUUAUCAAAAAUUCAAACAAUUUGGAUUACUCUACACCGUUAAACAAGCAAACAGCUCAUAUAGGCCGUCAAAAAUUAUCGAUUUUACGACACUUUGAUCACCAUGUAAAUAAUUUUUAAGAUUUAUGAAAUUUAAUUUCUAAAUAUUUCAAAUACUCUAAGUCAACUUCAACGGCUCCAUCAUCGAUUCGGAAUCUCUAUCAUCAAGAACAAUUUGAUAGGACAAGUGCUACUAUCCUAUUAAUAGGAUAGUAGCCCUAGCAUAUAUAUAUAUAUAGUGUAUCUGGUAUGCUUCUGGAACCACGGAGCGCUCCGUGCUUCCAAGUUGUUUUCGAUGUUCGGACUUUCGAAUCGACAAUCAGCUCCGUUAGACUUGAUCUAGAGUAUUUGAAGUAUCUACAAAAUAAAUUUUGCAAUUUUUCGAUAUUAUUUGCCUAGUGAUCAGAGUAGCUCAAAAUCAACGGCUGAAAAUAAAAAUCUUACAAAAUAUGAUGAUAUGACAUUAAAAUUUUAGAUCAAAGUUAUUGAUCUUGUUUUAUAUGGUAUAAAGAAUUUUCUAUCAAAAUUUCAUAUGAUUUAGAUAUUUUUACACUGUUAAACUUGCAAACGCCUCAUUACGGCCAUUAAAAUUAUUGAUUUUGAGCACCUUCAAUCACUAGG